CAUUGAAACAUGGGUUUUCAUGUGAUUACUGAAGUUAAGCAAGGUUGAGCCUGGUCAGUAUCUGGAUGGGUGACCACUUGGGAAUAUCAGCUGUUGUAAU